rnacentral:tRNA from 64 species
AUGUAGCCAAGUGGAUCAAGGCAGUGGAUUUGA